GAUGAAGAACGUAGCGAAAUGCGAUAAGUUGUGUGAAUUGCAGAAUUCCGUGAAUCAUCGAAUCUUUGAACGCACAUUGCGCCUUCUGGUAUUCCGGAAGGCAUGCCUGUUCGAGAGUCAUUAACAACCGUUUCGAUCCCUUUCUUUCAGAAAUUACAAAGAGGAAAAGGGUUUGGUUAUGGUGGAGGAGGGAAAGGGAGCGUUUAGCCUGUAAAAAAAGAGGCUGUGUUCCGCCUCCCCCCCAAAAUUGUACAGGCGGUCGUGUGCGCCCACGCAUCGAGGUGUUGUAAAAGCUGCCACGGCACUUUUCACCUGUGCAGUGCGAGAUUGGCCAGCCGGUUUAAAAACCCCUCCAAACAAUCAAAGGUUGACCUCGGAUCAGGUAGGGAUACCCGCUGAACUUAAGCAUAUCAAUAAGCGGAGG
rnacentral:misc_RNA from 1 species